rnacentral:lncRNA from 1 species
UUAUUAGACUUUUCUGUUUAUGAUUAUCUACCACAGUAGUCUUUUGUUCAGUGAAACACAUCCACACAAUACACCGUGGGCAACAAAGCG